GGAAGGAUUCAGGGCAAACAACAGCAAAACAUCAACAGCUGAGCUGACUAUCUCACAUUCCUUUCCUUUUCUGUGUAAUCUCCAACUAGGACUGGACAAUGACAGCAUGCGGGGGAAAAAACACUUCCCAUAUUCUGAAAAGUGCACAAGGCUGCAUAUGAAAAUACAAAACAGUACUCAUCGCAUUACAGUUGCAGUACUCUGUCCCAAACUUUGUGAUGGAUUACUAUGAAAAAAUCGGAAAAUUAAUGAAACACACACAACAAAGAGUCGGACGAAAGCUCUGGAGCGAGGGAUUGACAGAGAGAGAAAAGAAGAAGAGAAGCGUGGCGGCGAUUUGGCAGCUGCCCGGUGCCCAGCUGCAUUGGAAAAAUCCUGCCGCCUUUUCCUUUGCGGUGGUUCCCUCCCGGAGUGGUUUGUUUGGGGGACUGGUGUCCUGGGUGGGUGUCUAGCUACACUCCCCUGCGGCAGAGCUGGCUGCUGGGGCUGUGACUGUGGCUGUACCUCCUGGAGAGCUGAGGAAUGGAGGUCUGGCCACAGAACCAGAGACAGUGUCCAUAGAAGCCAAUGAGUGGAAGAGAGCAGCCUCACAUGAUCAUUAGCACCACUUCUGGACUAUGCUGUACUCUAGAGUCUGUGGACUGUGUAGAGACUGGGAGACGAGUGGAGGCAGGCUGCAACAAGGGACAAGGGCUGGUGCCUCCUCAUUACGAACCAGACCUGGACCCAGUCGGUAUCAGAUGUGGUGACCCCACUUGGUGACCCUGCCCGCCUGUGGGGAAAACAACCUGUGGUUACCAUGUUGGUUCACAGCAAAAACUUGACCUUUUUCAAAUGUAUUUUUCUUGCUGUCUGCUUGUUUUAGUCAAUUACAAAACUAUAUUUAAGAAAAGUACAACAUGUCUAAAGAUUACUUUUCAACAUUGCCUGCUCCCGAGCGUUCUCACUACUCAGAAAUACGUAAUAUUGUAUGUUGUAGGGGUUCCCUCAUGCCUCUUUUCAUGAUGGUGAUAGCAGCCAUGUGAGUGCUAGCUAGGUAGCGACCGGAGCAUUAAGCUAGCCAAGACCAACAACACAAACAAAAUGACUAUACUAAACAAGUUAAAUGUCUUGCCUGUGAUUAAAUGUUUUCCACACACAUAGCUACGUAUAGUCUACUACACCGCGUCCCCACAUUUCCCACUCUCCCACUCUGAAUACCCUGAAGCCUGAAGUGUGUGUAUGUGCUGUGUGCAAGUGUUAAACUUUAAGAACAUUGACAAGAGGCAGUAGGCCUACUUAAACAUUGGGAGCAUUAAUAGCUGUAUGUUACAGUGACUUUUGUGUUGUUUAUAGUGCCAUUAAAACAAUUCUGAUGCAGAUUAUUUUGUGUUUCUUUCCCAUACAAUCAAAACAUAGUAUGCCUGUAACUCAAUGUAUUGGAAAAUUGUUUAUUUAUGGCCAAAUCUGAGCUAAUUCUAAAAUUGCGAUUAAUCGCAAUUAAGGGAUGCCAUUAAGUCGAUUCAUUAUUUUAAUUAUUUGACAGCCCCAGUUUAUGUUGUACCCUGGUGGGUUAGGGGAAGGGUUAACUGCAUUUAAACCCAUUGACAGGGCAUUUACAACACUUAAUCUUAAACUUUAAGAUAUGAAGAUAGACUAGAAAAAACAAUGCCAAAAUAUCAAGUCAACCGUGUUGAUAUUGUUGAAAAUGUUGUUUUAAUAUAAUUUUGUGAUUGGAUAGGCCUACCCAUUUAGAUGAGAUUGCUACACUGAGUGUACAAAAUAUUAGGAAUAACUGCUCUUUCCAUGACAUAGACUGACUAAGUAAAUCCAGGUAGAAGCUAUGAUCCAUUAUUGAUGUCACUUGUUAAAUCCACUUCAAUCAGUGUAGAUGAAGGGGAGAAGACAGGUUAAAGAAAGAUUUGUAAGCUUUGAGACAAUUGAGACAUGGAUUGUGUAUGUGUGCCAUUCGAAGGGUGAAUGGGCAAGACAAAAUAUGUGCCUUUGAACGGGGUACGGUAGUAGGUGCCAGGCACAUCGGUUUGAGUAUGUUAAAAAACUGCAAUGCUGCUGGGUUUUUCACGUUCAACAGUUUCCUAUGUGUAUCAAAAGUGGUGCACCACUCAAAGGACAUCCAGCCAACUUGACACAACUGUGGGAAGCAUUGGAGUCAACAUGGGCCAGCAUCCCUGUGGAACACUUUUGACACCUUGUAGAGUCCAUGCCCUGAUGAGUUGAGGCUGUUCUGAGGGCAAAAUUAGGUGCAACUCAAGAGUAGGAAGGUGUUCCUAAUGUUUUGUACACUCAGUGUUUACCAUAUCAGGCUUGGUUUCUCAGGUUCUAUGUGGGGGAGUUUUUCAAAUAUAUAUCUUACAGGAAACCACCGAUUAAUAAUGAUAUAAUUGUCUUUCUCUUUUACAUGUAUACUUUUCAGAAUAUCUCACAUUGAUCAUGUACUGCAUGUAAACAAAACAAUUUACAAUUGCAUUUGCAACGUUCCUAUUUUCCAACAUUAAAGAUUAUGAAACAUG